rfam:Enterococcus asini ATCC 700915 genomic scaffold acvKe-supercont1.4, whole genome shotgun sequence.
UAGGGAACGGGGUGCAAAUCCUCGACAGUCCCUUUCUACUGUAACACGGACGAAAGCUCAUUACUCACUGAGGUAGCAUCACUUGGGAAGAGGAGCAGGUAGGAUGAAGUGAAGUCAGGAUACCU